rnacentral:lncRNA from 1 species
AAGAAGCUGCCCUGGCCUCCCGUCCCCUUCCCAGGCCUCAACCCCUUUCUCCCACCCAGCCCCAACCCCCAGCCCUCACCCCCUAGCCCCCAGUUCUGGAGCUUGUCGGGAGCAAGGGGGUGGUUGCUACUGGGUCACUCAGCCUCAAUUGGCCCUGUUUCAGCAAUGGGCAGGUUCUUCUUGAAAUUCAUCACACCUGUGGCUUCCUCUGUGCUCUACCUUUUUAUUGGGGUGACAGUGUGACAGCUGAGAUUCUCCAUGCAUUCCCCCUACUCUAGCACUGAAGGGUUCUGAAGGGCCCUGGAAGGAGGGAGCUUGGGGGGCUGGCUUGUGAGGGGUUAAG